AUUGAACGCUGGCGGCAGGCCUAACACAUGCAAGUCGAACGAGUGGCGGAAGGGUGAGUAAUGUCUGGGAAACUGCCAGAUAGAGGGGGAUAACUACUGGAAACGGUAGCUAAUACCGCAUACAAUCAGAUGUGCCCAGAUGGGAUUAGCUUGUUGGUGGGGGAACGGCUCACCAAGGCGACGAUCCCUAGCUGGUCUGAGAGGAGGACAAGCCACCCUGGAACUGAGACAAGGUCCAGACUCCUACGUGAGGCAGCAUGGGGGAAUAUUGCACAAUGGGCGCAAGCCUGAUGCAGCCAUGCCGCGUGUAUGAAGAUGGCCUUCGGGUUGUAAAGUACUUUCAGCGGGGAGGCGUUACCCGCAGAAGAAGCACCGGCUAACUCCGUGCCAGCAGCCGCGGUAAUUC
rnacentral:rRNA from 1 species